GCUUUGAGUAAAAAUAAAGCAGAGCAGGGAGGAUUGGGAAUGGUAAGAGCCAGCACUGUGGUCUAGCACAGCUUCUCUUGUUGGGCAACAUGUGAGCAGAUAGCCGAAUGAUGUGAGAGAAUGGUGAGAAGAAUAUUCCAGAAAGAACACACAGUAAUAGCAAAGGCCCUCUGGCAGGCAUUUUGCAGAUGUGAUCUACUUUAAUCCCCAUGACUACCUCGUGAAGACAUAUGACCCUCUUCUAUCUAUGAGGACAUGGAGGCACAAAGCAGUGAAGGACCUGCAGAAGGUCACAAUGUGAAUUUGUUGGCAAUCUCUUGAUCCUGGCAUCAUCAAAAGGAUGACCGUAUAGCAUGGCAAGGAAAGCACUGGGGAUGGAAGAGUUGGGUGAAGAAGCACCUGAGAGAGGAAGAAUAGUGCACGCAGUGCAGGAAGGAACAGUCCACUUGUACUUCUCUGGGUCCCUGGUCAAGGCUGGAAUUCUAUGAUGUGACUGAACCUGCUAAUAAAUAUACACUGAUUAUCAAGAAAAACAUAGGUAAUUGUUAAAAUCAUGCAGAGAAUCAAAAUAUUUUAAUUUACCUAAUAUAAACUGCUCAUACCCUGACUGAUAUGAGACUCUUAGAGACUAGUCCAAGAUGUCUCAGAAAAACCAUCUUGUGAAGGAAGGAACAAGCGACAUUUUGGAAAUGGUCCAGCUCCUGUGGGAAGCUUCCCCAGGCUGUCACUAUUGUUCACUGUAAAUCUCUAUGAGUAUACUUGCCUCUGGAUGGAUGGGAAAUCAAUAAGGACAAGGACUUUAGGAAUUGAGUGUGACAUCUAUUGUCAUGGGGAAUCUUGAACCAACUCUCUAAGCCAAGAGCAAACACCUCCAAUAGGCAGAUUUGGCACAGUCUGCCCUUUGGCAGUUGCUAAGGAUCUGGGAGGCCGAAGGUUUCUGAGCACUUUCCUUUCCAGAAGCACACCAGUGCUGAGCUAAUCUUUGCACUUGCUCUCUGUUCUAUAUGGAAUAGCAAUUCCUACUCUCUAGCAUUUUGGGGUAAAUGCUACCCCAAAGCCUUCCUCAAUGCCUCAUCCCACUCAGUGUUACAGCUUCCUUGAACUCCUUUAGGACACAGUGCAAACCUUGGACUCCAUCACUGCACUUGGCUCAUCGUGUGGCUACUACGUGUGUGUGUAUUGGUCUUCCCUCUGGACUGAGAGUGAGAGCAAUGUGUGUGUCCUACUUAUUUGUAGUAUCUCUUGCAUCUGGUUUCAUGCCUGCCACAAAUUUACUGCAAAGUAAGGAUGUAUAAAACUGAAUAGAAAGACAGUAGCCACUCAUUAAUGUUGAGUGAAUGUUGACUGAAUCUUUAUUUACCUCUAUUUUAUUUCUUUCCCUAGAGCAUUCAAGGCAUAACAAAUGCAUCGGCAAAUGCCAAACAAGUCAGUUAGGUCCCAUGAUUGUCCACAUUCUAUGGAUGAAGAAAACAAUGGGUGAAAAAAAAAAAAAAACAGGAUUCACUGAGAUUCUUUAACCUGCCGAAGGUCGUACAAUUAAGGAACAAAUAUAUAUUUGUAUAAAUUUAAUCCAUUUAUUGUUUGCCUGGAGAAAAGUGCACUGAUGUGAGCUACGCUUUGUAAAUGGGAAAUGGGUUAAGGAGUCCAAGUGCAGUUUUGUUACAUGGAUAUAUUGCCUAGUGGUGAAGUCUGGGAUUUAGUGUAACCAUCACCCAAAUAAUGUGCCUUGUAUCCAUUAAAUAACUUUUUAUCCCUCGCCCUCCUCCCACCCACCCACC
rnacentral:lncRNA from 1 species